UAGAGGUACUGACUCCUCUGCCU
rnacentral:piRNA from 1 species